CUCUUAAUCCCUCCUUACUCCUUCACUCUGCCCCAAAUCUUCCUCCUCAUUCCGCCCUCACUCGACGACGCAGCGGCAGGGACGCACUCGGCAGUAGAACAAAUCUGCUAAACACAUCAAGUGUGAACAGCUUUAUUGAGCCUUGUGAAGUCUCACAUCUCUCUCACCCAAACCCAUCCUCAUUUCCUCAAACCCAUUUUCACCAUCUCAACAUCAAAUGGACUCUGCCACCGUCAUCCGACGCCACCAAGAACGGAUGGAGAAACAGAUCCACCACCAUCAUCUGACGCCGCCAAAAACGGAUGGAGAAACAGAUCCGCUACCAUCAUCCGAUGCAGCCAAGAACAGAUGGAGAAACAGAUCCACCACCAUCGUCCGUCGCCGGUGUAGAAACAGAUCUGCUAGAUCAUUAAUCCCUGGAUAAUUGUGGCGCAAAUAGGCAGCGAUUUCUGCAAUGGAAAGGUAAGAGUUGGCAAGAAGGAAACGGCCAGACAUAUUUGCGGCUUUGAUGGCGAAGAUAUGAGCAUCGCACACAUCCUCAAUGUGUACAAUGGGAAUUUUCCCCAUCAAGUCCUCUAUAAAUAUGAGUGCCUCUCGUGUCACUUUGUCACUGGUGAGUUGUGAGAAGAGCAGCGACGUAGACAACGGACAAUACCAUAAACACGUAUCUCCUCCCACAACACCCAAUCCUAAGCUCACCACUUCUAAUAAUCCAUCAUCAUUAGUUUCCAA